rnacentral:rRNA from 1 species
UACGUAGGGUGCAAGCGUUAUCCGGAAUUAUUGGGCGUAAAGAGCUCGUAGGCGGUUUGUCGCGUCUGCUGUGAAAACCCGGGGCUCAACUCCGGAUCUGCGGUGGGUACGGGCAGACUAGAGUGAUGUAGGGGAGACUGGAAUUCCUGGUGUAGCGGUGAAAUGCGCAGAUAUCAGGAGGAACACCGAUGGCGAAGGCAGGUCUCUGGGCAUUAACUGACGCUGAGGAGCGAAAGCAUGGGGAGCGAACAGG